GGUCCCUAUCUGUCGCGGGCGCAGGAAAUUUGAGAGGAGCUGUCCUUAGUACGAGAGGACCGGGAUGGACGUACCGCUGGUGUACCAGUUGUUCCGCCAGGAGCACCGCUGGGUAGCCAAGUACGGACGGGAUAAGCGCUGAAAGCAUCUAAGCGCGAAGCCCCCCUCAAGAUGAGAUUUCCCACUGUAAAGGUAAGACCCCUGGAAGAUGACCAGGUUGAUAGGUUCGAGGUGGAAGCGCGGCAACGCGUGAAGCUGACGAAUACUAAUCGGUCGAGGGCUUAUCCUAAA
rnacentral:rRNA from 1 species